AUACGUAGGGGGCGAGCGUUGUCCGGAAUGAUUGGGCGUAAAGGGCGCGUAGGCGGCCCGGUAAGUCUGGAGUGAAAGUCCUGUUUUUAAGAUGGGAAUUGCUUUGGAUACUGUCGGGCUUGAGUGCAGGAGAGGUAAGUGGAAUUCCCAGUGUAGCGGUGAAAUGCGUAGAGAUUGGGAGGAACACCAGUGGCGAAGGCGACUUACUGGACUGUAACUGACGCUGAGGCGCGAAAGUGUGGGGAGCAAACAGGAUUAGAUACCCUGGUAGUCCACACUGUAAACGAUGAAUGCUAGGUGUAGGGGGUAUCGACCCCUUCUGUGCCGCAGUCAACACAAUAAGCAUUCCGCCUGGGGAGUUCGGCCGCAAGGUUGAAACUCAAAUGAAUUGACGGGG
rnacentral:rRNA from 1 species